rnacentral:rRNA from 1 species
GCUCAGAUUGAACGCUGGCGGCAGGCCUAACACAUGCAAGUCGAGCGGAUGAAAGGAGCUUGCUCCUGGAUUCAGCGGCGGACGGGUGAGUAAUGCCUAGGAAUCUGCCUGGUAGUGGGGGACAACGUUUCGAAAGGARCGCUAAUACCGCAUACGUCCUACGGGAGAAAGCAGGGGACCUUCGGGCCUUGCGCUAUCAGAUGAGCCUAGGUCGGAUUAGCUAGUUGGUGAGGUAAUGGCUCACCAAGGCGACGAUCCGUAACUGGUCUGAGAGGAUGAUCAGUCACACUGGAACUGAGACACGGUCCAGACUCCUACGGGAGGCAGCAGUGGGGAAUAUUGGACAAUGGGCGAAAGCCUGAUCCAGCCAUGCCGCGUGUGUGAAGAAGGUCUUCGGAUUGUAAAGCACUUUAAGUUGGGAGGAAGGGUUGUAGAUUAAUACUCUGCAAUUUUGACGUUACCGACAGAAUAAGCACCGGCUAACUCUGUGCCAGCAGCCGCGGUAAUACAGAGGGUGCAAGCGUUAAUCGGAAUUACUGGGCGUAAAGCGCGCGUAGGUGGUUUGUUAAGUUGGAUGUGAAAUCCCCGGGCUCAACCUGGGAACUGCAUCCAAAACUGGCAAGCUAGAGUAUGGUAGAGGGUGGUGGAAUUUCCUGUGUAGCGGUGAAAUGCGUAGAUAUAGGAAGGAACACCAGUGGCGAAGGCGACCACCUGGACUGAUACUG